GACGAACGCUGGCGGCGUGCUUAACACAUGCAAGUCGAACGGAAAGGCCUCAGCUUGCUGGGGUCCUCGAGUGGCGAACGGGUGAGUAACACGUGGGUGAUCUGCCUUGCACUCUGGGAUAAGCUUGGGAAACUGGGUCUAAUACCGGAUAUGAACUGCCUUUAGUGUGGUGGUUGGAAAGUUUUUUCGGUGCAAGAUGAGCUCGCGGCCUAUCAGCUUGUUGGUGGGGUAAUGGCCUACCAAGGCGUCGACGGGUAGCCGGCCUGAGAGGGUGUACGGCCACAUUGGGACUGAGAUACGGCCCAGACUCCUACGGGAGGCAGCAGGGGGGAAUAUUGCACAAUGGGCGGAAGCCUGAUGCAGCGACGCCGCGUGGGGGAUGACGGCCUUCGGGUUGGAAACUCCUUUCGACAGGGACGAAGCUUUUUGUGACGGUACCUGUAGAAGAAGCACCGGCUAACUACGUG
rnacentral:rRNA from 1 species